rnacentral:rRNA from 1 species
ACGAACGCUGGCGGCGCGCCUAACACAUGCAAGUCGAACGAGAGAUGAGGAGCUUGCUCUUCAGAUCGAGUGGCGAACGGGUGAGUAACGCGUGAGGAACCUGCCUCAAAGAGGGGGACAACAGUUGGAAACGACUGCUAAUACCGCAUAAGCCCACAGCUCGGCAUCGAGCAGAGGGAAAAGGAACAAUCCGCUUUGAGAUGGCCUCGCGUCCGAUUAGCUAGUUGGUGAGGUAACGGCCCACCAAGGCGACGAUCGGUAGCCGGACUGAGAGGUUGAACGGCCACAUUGGGACUGAGACACGGCCCAGACUCCUACGGGAGGCAGCAGUGGGGAAUAUUGCACAAUGGGGGAAACCCUGAUGCAGCGACGCCGCGUGGAGGAAGAAGGUCUUCGGAUUGUAAACUCCUGUUGUUGAGGAAGAUAAUGACGGUACUCAACAAGGAAGUGACGGCUAACUACGUGCCAGCAGCCGCGGUAAAACGUAGGUCACAAGCGUUGUCCGGAAUUACUGGGUGUAAAGGGAGCGCAGGCGGGAGAACAAGUUGGAAGUGAAAUCCAUGGGCUCAACCCAUGAACUGCUUUCAAAACUGUUUUUCUUGAGUAGUGCAGAGGUAGGCGGAAUUCCCGGUGUAGCGGUGGAAUGCGUAGAUAUCGGGAGGAACACCAGUGGCGAAGGCGGCCUACUGGGCACCAACUGACGCUGAGGCUCGAAAGUGUGGGUAGCAAACAGGAUUAGAUACCCUGGUAGUCCACACCGUAAACGAUGAUUACUAGGUGUUGGAGGAUUGACCCCUUCAGUGCCGCAGUUAACACAAUAAGUAAUCCACCUGGGGAGUACGACCGCAAGGUUGAAACUCAAAGGAAUUGACGGGGGCCCGCACAAGCAGUGGAGUAUGUGGUUUAAUUCGACGCAACGCGAAGAACCUUACCAAGUCUUGACAUCCCUUGACGAUGCUGGAAACAGUAUUUCUCUUCGGAGCAAGGAGACAGGUGGUGCAUGGUUGUCGUCAGCUCGUGUCGUGAGAUGUUGGGUUAAGUCCCGCAACGAGCGCAACCCUUAUGGUCAGUUACUACGCAAGAGGACUCUGGCCAGACUGCCGUUGACAAAACGGAGGAAGGUGGGGAUGACGUCAAAUCAUCAUGCCCUUUAUGACUUGGGCUACACACGUACUACAAUGGCGUUAAACAAAGAGAAGCAAGACCGCGAGGUGGAGCAAAACUCAGAAACAACGUCCCAGUUCGGACUGCAGGCUGCAACUCGCCUGCACGAAGUCGGAAUUGCUAGUAAUCGUGGAUCAGCAUGCCACGGUGAAUACGUUCCCGGGCCUUGUACACACCGCCCGUCACACCAUGAGAGCCGGGGGGACCCGAAGUCGGUAGUCUAACCGUAAGGAGGACGCCGCCGAAGGUAAAACUGGUGAUUGGGGUG